rnacentral:rRNA from 1 species
GCAGAGUGCGUGCCGGGGGCGGGGGUAAGAAGGAGGGGGCGAGGGGUAGCCGGAGUGAAGAGGGGUAAAGGGAGCGGAGGGGGCGAUGCAGGUCAGAUGUGAAAGACCGGGGCGCAACCCCGGGACGGAAUGUGGAACGGGGGGGCGGGAGUGUCGGAGAGGCAGGCGGAAGUCCUAGUGUAGCGGUGAAAUGCGUAGAUAUUAGGAGGAACACCAGUGGCGAAGGCGGCCUGCUGGACGAUGACUGACGUUGAGGCUCGAAAGCGUGGGGAGCAAACAGGAGUAGAUACCCCGGUAGUC